GACGAACGCUGGCGGCGUGCCUAAUACAUGCAAGUCGAACGCUUUUUCUUUCACCGGAGCUUGCUCCACCGAAAGAAAAAGAGUGGCGAACGGGUGAGUAACACGUGGGUAACCUGCCCAUCAGAAGGGGAUAACACUUGGAAACAGGUGCUAAUACCGUAUAACACUAUUUUCCGCAUGGAAGAAAGUUGAAAGGCGCUUUUGCGUCACUGAUGGAUGGACCCGCGGUGCAUUAGCUAGUUGGUGAGGUAACGGCUCACCAAGGCAACGAUGCAUAGCCGACCUGAGAGGGUGAUCGGCCACACUGGGACUGAGACACGGCCCAGACUCCUACGGGAGGCAGCAGUAGGGAAUCUUCGGCAAUGGACGAAAGUCUGACCGAGCAACGCCGCGUGAGUGAAGAAGGUUUUCGGAUCGUAAGACUCUGUUGUUAGAGAAGAGCAAGGAUGAGAGUAAAAUGUUCAUCCCUUGACGGUAUCUAACCAGAAAGCCACGGCUAACUACGUGCCAGCCGCCGCCGUAA
rnacentral:rRNA from 1 species